CCGCGCGUCGCGCUGCGUGUGCGUUGAGUCGAUGCGCACCGCAAACACGGACGACAACGAGAUCGACACCAUGGUGUCCGUGGGUGCGUGGAGGCGCCGCACGCCCGACGAAUGCGAAGAGCGCUCCGAGCCUGGCGCUUCCAGCUCCGCGGUGCCCCGGGCACCACCGAACUGUGCGCGCUGUCGUAACCACCGUCUUAAAAUCGAGCUGAAGGGUCACAAACGUUACUGCAAAUACCGCUACUGCACCUGUGAGAAAUGUCGCCUCACGGCGGACAGGCAACGGGUUAUGGCAUUGCAAACGGCCCUGAGACGUGCCCAGGCGCAGGACGAAGCCAGAGCGCGCGCUUUGGAGUCCGGUGUCCAGCCUCCGGGACUCGAACUAGACCGGCCCGAACCGCCUUCAGUCAAGACCCCGAGGAGCCCGGUACCGCCGCCUGCGCCUCGCUCCCUUGGCUCCGCGAGCUGCGAUUCCGUGCCUGGAUCACCGGGAGUAUCGCCGUAUGCGCCGCCGCCACCUUCGGUUCCUCCGCAGCCGACUAUGCCGCCUCUGUUGCCGCCACAACAGCCCGCGGUUUCACUAGAGUCCCUAGUGGAAAAUUGUCAUAAGCUGUUAGAAAAAUUUCAUUAUUCGUGGGAGAUGAUGCCGUUAGUGCUGGUCAUCCUUAACUACGCGGGGAGCGAUCUUGAAGAAGCAUCGCGAAAAAUAGAUGAAGGGAAGAUGAUCAUCAACGAGUACGCGAGGAAGCACAAUUUGAACAUCUUUGACGGUCACGAACUGCGGAACUCGACUCGCCAGUACGGACUUUAAUACAGAAAAUGCUGAGCGAAAUUAAUAAUAUAAGUGGUGUACUAUCAUCGUCGAUGAAGUUGUUUUGCGAAUGAUACUUAGUUUUACAAGUGCGGUUUAUAUGUGGACGCGUGCUGUGCCAUGCUGUGUGCGAAUGUCGAACAAUUCAGUUACAUCGCUUGAAGACUGGCGGCACACUGGGUGGUCCAUCAGUGGCAGCUAUACGAGCGGUCGCUAUGCUCGCUGCUCGAGCUGCAGGCGCGGAAGCGCACGUACGGUGUGUGCUGUUCGCCGCGGUACGUGCUCGCGCCGGAAUACGGGCCACAAUUACUCCCUCUGCCGCUCGCCGCGCGCCACUCGCCACCACCCGCGCACUUGUAGCGAUGCGACACUGCGCCACGUCAGAUGGCGCACCGCUCUGCCGAUCCCCCAUCGACCUCGACGAGGUCCCCAUCAACAACAUCAAGGAGCGGCAUCGAAUAAGUGCGGGAUCGAUUCCCGAGUGGGACACUUUUGUGUGAAUUUGGACUACCAUUAGUGUUUAGAUCUGUAUAGACGUCAUUUAUUAACGUGUGCUGGUGACACCGUAGAGAGUACCUUAUCGUAACGUUUUUAGGCCUUAUUUUAUAAUUAAACUGGCUAAUGUUUAAAACGCUGAGCGUUAAAUAUUCUUUGUCGUUAGCGGCUUGGUCCAAGUGAUGAAUAAGUCUAAAAUAAUUUUUAAUUUCUGAACAAUUUAUCUUAAAUUCAUACGGUCCAGUGAUCUUUAAGUGAUACAACAUAUUUUUAAAUAGCUCAUCGGUUUAAUAUAAGUAUAUUAUGUAACAUUACGUAAGUGUUGUUUUGUCAAAUAAUGAUAAAUAAUUACAAAAUUUUGCGCAUGUUUUGUACAAAUUUAAGUUCAUUCGGUAAUGAUCGAAAUGUGUUAAAAUAUUUGUAUUGAAGAGUUCUAACUGUCUAGUUAUAGAUUCUUUUCAAGAUUUGAUUUAUUAGAUUAUUUAUAAAUGUGAUAAUUUUCCAAAUGAACGCUUUUUAUAAUUCAUAUAUAUUACAUUUUAUAAAUCUUUCACAUGUUCUUUGCUAAGCUGUGAGAAACAAACUCGACGAUACUCGACGUCAAAAUCGAUAUAUCGGAAAGUGAUUUAUAAUGAUGACGACGCCUUUGAAUAUCGCGUUUGAUCGAAAUUUAACCAUUUCAACUAUAUUCAUAUAAGUUUUUGUUCACAUAUGACUCACGACCAUUCAAAUAUACCUACAUUUUUAUAUAUGGCGGUAGUCUUAUAAAAUAACUACCAAAUUUAUCGAGUCGAGCAUCGAAUAUCGAAUUUGUGUCAUACAAAACAAAUUUAUAGUAAAACACGUUGUUUUAGCGUUUUAAAACGCCCCGUGAUAUUAAGUUCUUUCAAAGAUAUUUAAUAUUAGAUAUUCUAUAUUUAAUAAUGUGAUAUUUCUGUUUUUUCUACUUAAUAUAUGAAAAAUCAUAAAAUAUACUUUUACCAUUUAGUACGGCGAUAUAAGACAACAUUUUUUGAAUUUACUUUUGCAUUGCAACGAUGAACAGACACGAUAAAAGUUUCCCAAGCUGUAGAUAACGCUCCUAAUGUAUGGUUACGUUCAAACAUUAUCAAUUUCAACCUGAUAGAUUUCAAAUAUUAAUAAGACGUGUUCAGGAGGUAUCCACCAUUCGUGAUAUGUAAAAUAAUUACAUAUAUAAUUUGAUGUUCCCGCGAUGGUUGCGCAGGGCGGAGCGUUCCCGAUACCGCCCUUCUGAAUCGAAUUACAGUCAUUGCUGUAUGCAGUAGAUUCUAUCAGGGUUGCCAGUAAUGACCGCUAAACAAUUCAUCGCUCUACCUUACAAAAUGUAUAAUAUAACGUUUUCCGUUGAGUAAUUUCUCAGUUAAUUUUUUUUAUUCGCAAUGCUUCAAAUAAUAAAGUAUAUUUUCAUAUUACUAAAUAUUUAUAUGAUUAGCGCGUGAAACUAUACCGUUGAGUAAUGAAAGAAGUUGUAUUUAAUGAAUAAAACAUAUGAAAUCGUCAUAAAUAUCGUUUGAACCAAUAACUGACAAUCCUUUUUUUUCGCUUGAAAAACGCCUUACGCGUUUCCUCCACGGGAACAGUGGGGUGGUAUGUGGGGCUCGCCGGUGUCCAAGGCACCGAGUGCGCCCCGAACAUCGGAAUACCCACUAAAAAACCAGCGGUACCCUUUCCGUCUUAACGCCACGGGAUCGCUUUCGCAUGAUACCGUGAAGCUCAAAUAACUGACAACCCUGAAUUUAUACGUAGUAACCUUACUGAGUGAUUACUUAUAAUUUGAACAAACACCGGUCAUUACCACGGGCAUCGUACACGCCCUGAUUACCUUUGAUUCUCUAUGCUAUUUCACAUAAUUCCCAUUGGCUAUACAGCAUGUAUGAGAACGUAUCGAAUCCUUUUUACCGAGUGAAGUGCAAUGUGAAAUUAUAUCAUAAAUUAUAUUUUGUCUCUUUCAUAUUGCUGAUAUUAGAAUGAGUUGAAACGUUGGACUAUGUUUCAAUAACCCUCUACUUAAAUUUCUACAUAUGUGUUAUCCGCUUUCAUGAUUAUUUUGUACUCUUAUGUCACAUUUUUAGUGCCUUCUUUUAUCAAGCACGGACUCUUUACUUAAAAGUCAUCAUAAUAAAAAGUAGAUAAAUAUAUACUUAAAGUUUUCACAUACUUAAAUUAUUUUUUAAUUUCUAACUUCUUACGUUGAAUUUAUAUAUUAAAAUCUCAUUGUUUAUAUAGAAUAAAGUAGAAGGCGUCCCAUUUGAAAAAAAUGUUAAAAUUUAUUCCAUCCAAAAUUCUUCUAAUAUCGCGUCCAAAGCAAUUCCAUUUUUCAAAAUUAAUUGUAUUGAAUAAAUAUUGUGAUUCGGUUCAAAUGAUCUCAGUUUAAUAUAAAGAUAAAUAAGUGAGCUACAUAAAAAAGUGUAGAGGUAUAGUUUAAAUUUCUUAUUUUAUAUAAAAAUAUCGAGAGUACAUACUAAUUUGUUUGAUUUUUUAAUAUUACAGUGUGUGUAUCCGUAACAGAUUAAGCUGCUAAUAGUCUUUUUUAAUGAAACUUUACGUCAAUGAAGCUAAAAUAAUAGCAAUUUUUUAAUCUAUUUACAAAUUGGGCUUACGCUAGAGUACCCAGAACACCUUACAUCAAAUUACACUCAAUAAAGUCUUAAAAUUAUUUUACGUCUUCUUACGAAUAUUAUAAAUAUGAAAGUGUGUUUAUCCUUUUAUUAUCUGUGAGUACUUGUACAGAUUCUAAUAGCAUUUUGAGAUGGAAGUUGAUGCUAAAAUAUGACUAGAAAAUACAAAUACAGCUAUUAAAAAAAUAACAAUUCUAAAUUUAAAAUGAGUAUUUGUUCAAAAUAAUGACGACAGUGACUUAUAUAAUUUUUUGUGGUUAAAUAUAUAAUUAUAUAUAUUUAACCACAAAAAAUACAUUAAAAUUAUUUCUUUAACAGUGUCAUAUGUCCUAAUACAAUAAAGAAGCAUUACAACUUUUUUAAUAAUAAAAAUUAGACAGCAGCUCAACUGGUACGGAUCCUAUGUGAUGUAUUGUAGCUAGUCAAUACGAACUCUGAAUUUUUCGAAUUCAAAAUAUAUUAAGAUAAAUUUAAUCCGACUUUAUGGCCAGUGAUAUUUUUUAAAAGAAAUAUUUAUGUCUACAUGCCAACUUAUCACUGUAAUCUUGCAUCACAUUUUUCUUAGAUUUAAAAUCAAUCAUCCAGCUGAUACAUUUAUGUCAAAUGUUAAAAAAAUUCGUCCUAAGUCAAACGGCCAUCUUUAAAAAUAAAAAGUAAUUUUUGUAUUCUCUAAUAAUAAUCUCUGAUUAAAACUUUGUAAGUUUGUUUGACAUAUUAUACGUCAUUAACAUAUAAAAUAUUAAAAUAUUAUACAUAAUUAUUGUGAAUAAAUUAUGAAACAUUUGAUUAGACUAUAGAAAUACAUAGAAGUGCAAUAAUUGUAAAUCAAUAGGGAGUACUAUCUCUACACACAAUAUAAACAAUUACAAAAAAAAUAUUUGAUACAGUAUAAGAGAAGUCUUUUAUUUGAAAUGACGUAUUGAGAAACGUAUAAGUAUGUGACUCUUUUUAACAUACUUCAGUAGAAGUUCUCCAUAUCUCUCAAGUAAAAAAAUACAGAUAAUAAAAUUAUAGUAUACUAUAUCUAGAGGUAAAAUGUAAACCGAGUGACUAUUAUAAACUAAAAUAUGCUUGCAUAGUUAUUUGAGAAUAUUAAAAAAAUCGCUUUAAUUAAAUGUAGAUUAUUUCAUGUGUCUUAAUUACUGUAAUCAUACUUAACAUGGCAUAAUGAUUUGCUGUUUGAGUUGUAUAUACUUUUAUAGAUACGAAACAUGUACACAAAUGUAUGCGUCCAAAUUUGUAAACAUUUUCAUGUUUAAUUAAGUAUUAAAAUCCAGACAAAAAUUUAGAAUAUAUUUAUAGAAUCCGUAACCAUUUCAUUGCAAUGUAAAGCUUCUGAGCACUAUAAUAUUGUAUAUCUAAAUCGCUGUUAUACAAAGUGUAAACAAAAUCAUACACUAGUUAAAACUUAAAUAUCGAUAAAAAUUGAUAAUAUUAAUAUUAACUUUAGUAAAAAAAUUAUCUUAAUUACGUUUGUCCAAGUUUGUUUACACUUUGUACGGUUUGUGCGGCUGUAAAGCUUGUCACGGCUGAAAAAAAAUUCUGAAAAAAAUGAGGCCUGAAUGCUAUAUUAGAAAACGAAAUAUUUAAAAUUUUUUCGCUAUGAUAAAUCUAGAUGCGUGUGAAGCGUGUUUGCUAGACGCGCGAAAAUAAUGUAUAUAUCGCACUUUCUCCUCAUUUUUAUAGAUUAAAAAUUAUAGACUCUUUCAAUUAUAAAUAUCUAUGAAAUAUAUAUAAUGCAAACAAAGCUUAAUGAAUAUGUAGAAAUGUUUCUUUGAACAAUUCAACAAUACUUACUUCACUGUAUACAACUAUAAUAUUCUUAAUAAAGUGCAAUGUAAUUUCUCAUUUGUAUAAAAACAGUCUCUUAUGUCAAGGUGUAUAGAAAUUGUAUAAAUUUUAAAUCGUGUCCCUAGGUUUAAUUGUAAAUUUGAAUGAAUCCUAAUAUUUGUUAAGAUAUUAACAUUAAGUAGAUAAAUAGCCUUCAAGCAGUCUUUAUUUAUAAUCAUUGUCUUAAAUGUAAGCCUAACUACAUCCGCCCAUCAAAUACAUCACAAUCAACAUUAUUAUUCCUUAUAUUGAUAUUAAAAUAUUAAUUAUCGUCCAUUUAAAUCCUUUUUUAUCCCUUCUCAAAGAAAUAAGAUUAAAUAAAAUUAUUCUUGUUAUCAAGGUUAACAUGACAUUCGAGUUUUUCAUGUAAUUUAGAUUUGAUAUAUUUUAUUAGAAGACAAAAUCACUGAAAUUUAAUUUUAUAUUUACAUUUCGUCCACAUUUUAGGGUGCUCAAGUCACAAAAUUCCCACUAAAAUGUUCUUUAACUUAAAAGUCCUUCCAUUUACAUAAGAUAUUAUUCUUAGCGACAUAAUUAUUGUAUUUUCAACAGUCAUUUUAACUAACAAAUCUAAUUAUGUAUAGUAUGUAAGUAACAUAGGAUUUUAAUCACAUUUCUGUUGAAUGUCUGGUCCAUACGAACACAGAUGGAAGACAAUUCAACUCAUCUUUGCGUGUACGUCAUUGCGCUUGUCAAGUUGACAGCCAAUUUGAGUUAUGGUGGCAAAACAUUUUUUCACUGUUGUCGUGGCUUUCCUUAAAUUUGCUCCAUUAUUUAAAUUAGCUUGUAACCAAUUAUCCGGUAUGACAAAACCAGAUACAUAAAUGUAUAAAGUUUUAACUCAGUAGGAUGAACACUCUAGGACCUUAGCUUCAGACCUAAAUUAUAAUUAAAAUGUUUUUGACUACAAUAAAAUAUGAUAAUACAAAAUUGAUUAAAAAUCUAUGUGUCUAGUUCUAACAUAUGUAUAGUUUAUAUAUCUAAUAUAUUGAUGUAGGUAUUUGAAACCAAUCCAACAUAUUAUAUGAAAAUGUGUUACCAGAAACUUUGUCUGAACUUGAGUGUAAUGACGUCAUAGCAAAUUGGAGCAUAGGUAUUUACGAUUGUUAUAAACAUUUUUUUUAUACAAAUGUUUUUUUUAUAAACUUAACGCAAUAUUAUAAAUUUCAUUUAUACAUUAUUUAUUAAUGUAUAGAUACAUAAUAUAUAUAUGAUACCUAUGUUCCUGAUAUUUUUAUUAACAUUUUGUCACAUGUACAAUAAUAUAUUUUUCAACGAAUAACAUUAAGUUUUUUAGUAAUGAUCAUUGUACUGUACAAGUUUACUUUAUUAUUGUAAAACUCUUAUUUGUUGUAUUUAUAGAUGAAGAGGUUUGAGGAUUUUAUUUAAUUAUAUAAAACUGAUAUUUAUAAAUUACUUCUUGUCAAAUAAACGAUUUUAACGAUCGUU